rnacentral:rRNA from 1 species
CGAACGCUGGCGGCAUGCCUAACACAUGCACAUCGAACGAGACCUUCGGGUCUAGUGGCGCACGGGUGCGUACCGCGUGGGAACCUGCCCUUAGGUUCGGAAUAACUCCCCGAAAGGGGUGCUAAUACCGGAUAAUGUCUUCGGACCAAAGAUUUAUCGCCUUUGGAUGGGCCCGCGUUGGAUUAGCUAGUUGGUAGGGUAAAAGCCUACCAAGGCGACGAUCCAUAGCUGGUCUGAGAGGAUGAUCAGCCACACUGGGACUGAGACACGGCCCAGACUCCUACGGGAGGCAGCAGUGGGGAAUAUUGGACAAUGGGCGAAAGCCUGAUCCAGCAAUGCCGCGUGAGUGAUGAAGGCCUUAGGGUUGUAAAGCUCUUUUACCCGGGAUGAUAAUGACAGUACCGGGAGAAUAAGCUCCGGCUAACUCCGUG